GUCGUAGGAUUACUCUUUUCUUUAAAAAAAAUCCCAGAAUGCUUUGCUCUGUAGUCCGCUUCCUGCUUUUGGCGCGGUCUUCGGUCCGUCUGGCAUCAACAUUCAAACCGGGCCAGAGUUCACUUCAGGCAGACCAAAGWUUGAGGAGCCGGUGUGAAUGCAUCCUUACUCUUUGCUGUUACUUUCACCCAGAGAAGGACUCCUAAUGUCCUCUCUACAUAUUUCUUCUCCAAUUUGCAUCGUUGGAGGCGCAGUGCUCUGUGUAUGAUUUACCAGAAAUGAAGACAAGGUCAACAGGGAGGCACCCUUGUCAAACUUUAACAGCAGAGACCGCCCACACUCUUGCCCUCAAUCCAUCUGGCUAAUGUCCGCUUUCUGGCAAACAAAAAGGUCAAACUGCUGCUUCUAGACUCAAAAAUCUACAGCACAGGGAGUUUUCAUUUAUAUAGCCCUUUUAAAGCUCACUUGACUCAAGUGAUGUAAUCUCCUUGUGGUAUAGAAAACAGACAUCUGGAAAAUCUUUAAAUAAUGAAGAACGUAGCUGCAACACAGACUGCAGCCAUCCAUCGCUGUAGGUCGGUGCGGAAAAAAGAAUGUCUUGAUGUUAUUGCUUGCGUAUGUGUGUGUUUACAAGCAAACAAAAUCAAGGUAACAAAUCUAAUUUGAAUCUCAUCAAUCGCACUCAGUGCUCUAAUACAUAGGCUGACAAGUACUUAGUGGAACAAUCAAGAAUAAAAACGAGUCCAAAGCCCAUGUUUUAUUUUGACGCCACUGCCAACUCGUGAGUAAAAGCCAAACGUUUUCCAGGGGAAGCUUCGACUAAUGUGAUCCCAUCUGAACAACUCUGGAGACCGAAGCAGGCAGAUAAUCAGGUUAGAGUUGGUGAAGCACACGAUCGGGGAGCUAACAUAAAUUGGCCUGGAGCCGAGGGAACCCGCCGCACAAAAGUGGCGUUGCGGUACGCGGACACUGUCUGCGCAUCCGGCCUCCCCCCAUGCAGUCGUUAAAAGCUGAUGAGUUCAGUCUUUAACAACGCAGUGGUUUUCGGCGCCGUGUGCAACCAACCGCAACGGUAACCAUGAGGAUUCGGGAGGCUGCGGCCAUCAUGGCACAGAGAGCCGGGAAUCAGGAAAAAGCCUUUUCAGUGAAACGUUUUAGAUGUCGGGCAAAAACACAAGUUGAAUCAGGAUUUGGGUCUGAGACGGAUCUGACCUCCGCAGUGUGUAUUUGUCUGCUUUUCAUCAAACAGUUUGAUUUGGGGGAAAUUAUGUUAUUCGUUAUUGUAUUGCACUGACCAAAAUACUACAGUGAACCACUUUAUUCAUGAGACGCUUUACAAACAACACCAAGGUGCUGUACGGAACAAAACAAGACAGGAUUAAAGGAAGACAGACUAACGGUGAGAAGCAAGGAAACAGCCAGAUAAAAAACUGAUAAGAAUAAUAAAGUAAUCCAAUAAAUAAAACAAAAUCAGUCUCCGGCCACAAAUGUGACCCAAAUCCAAUUCUUCCCCUUCCUAUGCGACCCACAUCCAACUUUCACAUGGCAACUGAAUGACCCAGUUUAGAUUUUUUUUCACCCCUCACUCCAAAAAUAAAUAAAUUAAAAAAAAUCUGAUUUGUGCCUCUUUCAUAUCUGGUACUAAGUUGGAUACUUAUCCUGGUUCACAUCCAAACUGGCUUCUGCAGUCGAUGCUCCAGAAGAGGUUGUAGCUACUGGUUGUACUUCCUUCAUCUCCUUAUGAUCUUGUGUCACAUCAUUCAUUAGUGUGAAUGACCAGCAAAAAGAAAAACAGGUUCCAGCACUAAUGUGGAAUCGAGCAUCACUACCUGCUAUGUGAGCAUAGUCAAAGUCUCACUCUGGGUUGAAUGUCAGGGAGCAAAAGUGUCCCAAUCAUUGGGUUUAGGGUUUCAUUUGUGUUUUGUAUUUUGAGCUUUUUGCUUAUAGUCAAUUGAUUUUUCCACAUUUUGUUUCUCUGUACUUAUUGUCUCUUUGUUUAUUCUUAUGUUCUGCACUUUGCGUGUUCAAAGUUUAUUCUCUUAGGUCAGUGUUAUUUUCCCCCUGAUUUGUUUUUUUUUUGUCUUCGUUCAUUAACUUAAUGCUCAACAUUCACCUUUCCUGCAGUCUGGCAGUUUUAUUCCCUGUCACCUUAUUUCCUCUCCUCCCUCAGAGUUUAUAGGUUUUAAAGUUCCCAGUUACCUUCAGCCACCUCUGAACUCGGGUUUUUAUUGAGUCCUUGAAAUGCCUAAAAACCUCUGAUCAGCUGACCUACAGGAGCCAGAUGGCCUGAAGCUGAACUCAGACCCUAAGGCCACGAUCAGAGGACAGAUGUUGCUAUGACUGAUACGAGAACUCACGCACACAAGUCGUGAGCUUAACAUGAUUAAAAGUGUUAAAGUAAA